rnacentral:lncRNA from 1 species
CAAUCUAAUGUUUCACUUAAGAAUCCUCAAUUUGAGAAUACCAAAGCAAUUUCUAAGCUUAGAAGUGGUAAGAUUCUUAAGGACCCCUAUCAAGACCUGAUGAGAGAGACUAGUACUGAUGCUAGCCAAAAUAAGAAUUUGAAAGAAGAAGUUAGUACUGAGACUAACCCAAUAGAAGAAUUUGAGUUUGAAAUUAUUACUGAUUUGAGUGAAAAAGAUAA